AACACAUGCAAGUCGAGGGGUAACGGGGAAGCUUGCUUCCGCCGACGACCGGCGCACGGGUGCGUAACGCGUAUACAAUCUACCUUAUACUGGGGUAUAGCCUUUAGAAAUGAAGAUUAACCCCCCAUAGUCUCUUAGAGUGGCAUCACUUCUAGAGUAAAGGUUACGGUAUAAGAUGAGUAUGCGUUCUAUUAGUUUGUUGGUGUGGUAACGGCACACCAAGACUACGAUAGAUAGGGGCCCUGAGAGGGGGAUCCCCCACACUGGUACUGAGACACGGACCAGACUCCUACGGGAGGCAGCAGUGAGGAAUAUUGGACAAUGGAGGCAACUCUGAUCCAGCCAUGCCGCGUGCAGGAAGACUGCCCUAUGGGUUGUAAACUGCUUUUAUACAGGAAGAAACACCUCUACGUGUAGAGGCUUGACGGUACUGUAAGAAUAAGGAUCGGCUAACUCCGUGCCAGCAGCCGCGGUAAUACGGAGGAUCCAAGCGUUAUCCGGAAUCAUUGGGUUUAAAGGGUCCGUAGGUGGAUAAUUAAGUCAGAGGUGAAAUCUUGCAGCUCAACUGUAAAAUUGCCUUUGAAACUGGUUAUCUUGAGUUAUUAUGAAGUAGUUAGAAUAUGUAGUGUAGCGGUGAAAUGCAUAGAUAUUACAUAGAAUACCGAUUGCGAAGGCAGAUUACUAAUAAUCAACUGACACUGAUGGACGAAAGCGUGGGUWGCGAACAGGAUUAGAUACCCUGGUAGUCCACGC
rnacentral:rRNA from 1 species